rnacentral:rRNA from 1 species
GAUGAACGCUGGCGGCGUGCCUAAUACAUGCCAGUCGAGCGAACAGACGAGGAGCUUGCUCCUCUGACGUUAGCGGCGGACGGGUGAGUAACACGUGGAUAACCUACCUAUAAGACUGGGAUAACUUCGGGAAACCGGAGCUAAUACCGGAUAAUAUAUUGAACCGCAUGGUUCAAUAGUGAAAGACGGUUUUGCUGUCACUUAUAGAUGGAUCCGCGCCGCAUUAGCUAGUUGGUAAGGUAACGGCUUACCAAGGCGACGAUGCGUAGCCGACCUGAGAGGGUGAUCGGCCACACUGGAACUGAGACACGGUCCAGACUCCUACGGGAGGCAGCAGUAGGGAAUCUUCCGCAAUGGGCGAAAGCCUGACGGAGCAACGCCGCGUGAGCGAUGAAGGUCUUCGGAUCGUAAAACUCUGUUAUUAGGGAAGAACAAAUGUGUAAGUAACUAUGCACGUCUUGACGGUACCUAAUCAGAAAGCCACGGCUAACUACGUG